rnacentral:misc_RNA from 1 species
AAGUCGUAACAAGGUUUCCGUAGGUGAACCUGCGGAAGGAUCAUUACAAAUCCACGUGUGUGUGUAUGAUCAUGUUGAACCCGUUGUGAGAGAGAGGUGUUUUUGGAGGGGGGAAUGUCUUUAUGGAAAACGGGGUCACUCUCCUCAGAGAGGGUCACUUCUUCCAACAAGACCCCCUCCAAAACACCACCACUGCUCACUGAAAUACUCUAGUUGAUGAUCGAUCAUGUUGUACCUUUUGGAGGCUUGAGGCCUCGAAUAGAAACACAACUUGUAACAAUGGAUCUCUAGGCUCUU